GGUUGACCUCGGAUCAGGUAGGAGUUACCCGCUGAACUUAAGCAUAUCUAAGCAGGAAAAAAAA
rnacentral:rRNA from 1 species